GAGUUUGAUCAUGGCUCAGAACGUACGCUGGCGGCACGCCUAACACAUGCAAGUCGAACGCAGUAGCAAUACUGAGUGGCAAACGGGUGAGUAUAAUGUGGGAAUCUGCCUUUUGGUUUGGAAUAACACGGGGAAACUUGUGCUAAUACCGAAUAAGCCCUUACGGGGAAAGUUUUAAUGCCGAAAGAUGAGCCCGCACUUGAUUAGCUAGUUGGUAAGGUAAAAGCUUACCAAGGCAACGAUCAAUAGCUGUUCUUAGAGGAAGACCAGCCACAUUGGGACUGAGACACGGCCCAGACUCCUACGGGAGGCAGCAGUGGGGAAUCUUGCACAAUGGGGGAAACCCUGAUGCAGCGAUGCCGCGUGAGUGAAGAAGGCCUUUGGGUUGUAAAACUCUUUCGUCGGGGAAGAAAAUGACUGUACCCGAAUAAGAAGGUCCGGCUAACUUCGUGCCAGCAGCCGCGGUAAUACGAAGGGACCUAGCGUAGUUCGGAAUUACUGGGCUUAAAGAGCUCGUAGGUGGUUAAAAAAGUUGAUGGUGAAAUCCCAAGGCUCAACCUUGGAACUGCCAUCAAAACUUUUUAGCUAGAGUGUGAUAGAGGUAAGUGGAAUUUCUAGUGUAGAGGUGAAAUUCGUAGAUAUUAGAAAGAACACCAAAUGCGAAGGCAACUUACUGGGUCACUACUGACACUGAGGAGCGAAAGCAUGGGUAGCGAAGAGGAUUAGAUACCCUCGUAGUCCAUGCCGUAAACGAUGUGUGCUAGACGUUGGAAAUAUAUUUUUCAGUGUCGCAGCGAAAGCAUUAAGCACACCGCCUGGGGAGUACGACCGCAAGGUUAAAACUCAAAUGAAUUGA
rnacentral:rRNA from 1 species